UGACCUGAGUUGGAAGCUUAACCGAUUGAGCCCCUAAAUUGCGCCCCUAAAUUGUGCUUUUUAAAUGGGUAUGGUUUCUGAAUUUUCAGCUCAAUAAAGCUUUUGUUUUUUUUUUUUUUUUUCAAGAUUUUAAAAUUUUUAAAUAAUCUCUACACC